AACUCUGAGCGGUGGAUCACUCGGCUCGUGGUGCCGUCGAUGAAGAGCGCCAGCCAACUGCGGUGAAUUAGUGUGAAUUGCAGGAUAUCUUGAACAUCGACAUCUUGAACGCAUAUUGCGGCCUCAGUCUCCCCUGUGGCCACGCCUGGCCGAGGGUCG
rnacentral:rRNA from 1 species